UACGGAGGGUGCAAGCGUUGUCCGGAAUCACUGGGCGUAAAGCGCGCGCAGGCGGUGCGGUAAGUCUCUGGUGAAAGCGCUCGGCUUAACUGGGCGAGGGCCGGGGAGACUGCCACGCUGGAGGGGAGCAGAGGCGAGUGGAAUUCCCGGUGUAGCAGUGAAAUGCGUAGAGAUCGGGAGGAACACCAGUGGCGAAGGCGGCCUUCUGGACCAGUACUGACGCUCAUGCACGAAAGCGUGGGGAGCAAACAGG
rnacentral:rRNA from 1 species